GACGAACGCUGGCGGCGUGCUUAACACAUGCAAGUCGAACGGGCCUGUCUUCUUUUUUGGGGGGUGGGUUGCGUGGCGAACGGGUGAGUAUCACGUGAGUAACCUGCCCUUCGGUCCUGGAUAACCGCUUGAAAGGGCGGCUAAUACGGGGUGGUCCGGUUGGUCCGCAUGGGCUGGUCGGGAUAGAUUCACUGUUUUUGGUGUUUCGGCGGGGGAUGGGCUCGCGGCCUAUCAGCUUGUUGGUGGGGUGAUGGCCUACCAAGGCGGUGACGGGUAGCCGGCCUGAGAGGGUGGGCGGCCACACUGGGACUGAGAUACGGCCCAGACUCCUGCGGGAGGCAGCAGUGGGGGGUAUUGCACAAUGGGCGGAAGUCUGAUGCAGCGACGUCGCGUGAGGGAUGGAGGCCUUCGGGUUGUGAACCUCUGUUUCCGGUGGCGAAGGCCCUGUCCGUGUGGUGGGGUUGACGGUAACCGGGGAUGAAGCGCCGGCUAACUACGUG
rnacentral:rRNA from 1 species